AUUGAACGCUGGCGGCAGGCCUAACACAUGCAAGUCGAGCGAGCGGCGGACGGGUGUGUAAUGUCUGGGAAACUGCCUGAUGGAGGGGGAUAACUCUUGGAAACGGUAGCUAAUACCGCAUAUCAUCGGAUGUGCCCAGAUGGGAUUAGCUAGUAGGUGGGGUAACGGCUCACCUCGGCGACGAUCCCUAUCUGGUCUGAGAGGAUGACCAGCCACACUGGAACUGAGACACGGUCCAGACUCCUACGGGAGGCAGCAGUGGGGAAUAUUGCACAAUGGGCGAAAGCCUGAUGCAGCCAUGCCGCGUGUGGGAAGAAGGCCUUCGGGUUGUAAAGCACUUUCAGCGGGGAGGCGUUACCCGCAGAAGAAGCACCGGCUAACUCCGUGCCAGCAGCCGCGGUAAUAC
rnacentral:rRNA from 1 species